UGGGGAAUUUUGGACAAUGGGCGAAAGCCUGAUCCAGCAAUGCCGCGUGUGUGAAGAAGGCCUUCGGGUUGUAAAGCACUUUUGUCCGGAAAGAAAUCCUUGGCUCUAAUACAGUCGGGGGAUGACGGUACCGGAAGAAUAAGCACCGGCUAACUACGUGCCAGCAGCCGCGGUAAUACGUAGGGUGCAAGCGUUAAUCGGAAUUACUGGGCGUAAAGCGUGCGCAGGCGGUUUGCUAAGACCGAUGUGAAAUCCCCGGGCUCAACCUGGGAACUGCAUUGGUGACUGGCAGGCUAGAGUAUGGCAGAGGGGGGUAGAAUUCCACGUGUAGCAGUGAAAUGCGUAGAGAUGUGGAGGAAUACCGAUGGCGAAGGCAGCCCCCUGGGCCAAUACUGACGCUCAUGCACGAAAGCGUGGGGAGCAAAACAGGAUUAGAUACCCUGGUAGUCCACGCCCUAAAACGAUGUCAACUAGUUGUUGGGGAUUCAUUUCCUUAGUAACGUAGCUAACGCGUGAAGUUGACCGCCUGGGGAGUACGGUCGCAAGAUUAAAACUCAAAUGAAUUGACGGGGUCAUAGCUGUUUCU
rnacentral:rRNA from 1 species